UAAAUUGAAAUUAACAACAUUUUUACAAAUGAUGUCCCAUUAGAAAGAAAAUUUGUAUACAUCAUAAUUAUGGAGUAAAUUGUAAAAAGGGUCUCUGUGCUUUGAAAAAAAUAGUCUAAGAGUAUUUGGCACUGAAAAGUGCUCAUUUGAAUAAGAACUGUAUUUUGCAUUGUAAAGAGUUACUGAAUUCUUCUAAUAAAAUGAAUAGACUUAAUGUAUUCAAAAUAUACUAUCUAUAACCAGACAAUUUAACUUUCACUAGAUGUGUAUUUCUGUUUGAGUAUAGAGCACUAAGAAAUAUAGGGAUUAUUGGAUCUUUUUCUUUUAUUUGAAGUCACAUCAAAGAUAAUAGGCUUAUUGCUUAGGAGAAGACCAAAGGGGGUUAAAGUAUUGAGAUUUCAUCUGUCACACAAUUAUGUAAUGCCAAAUAACAGGACCUGACUGAUAUACUAGUUAUCUGAUUGUGCAAUAUAAAACAGAAUCAGCUGAUCACAGCAGAGGCAAUAAUGGUAUUAUAUAUUGUAAACAAUUAUUAAGUAGGAAUUAUAGUACUUCACAUGAUUUGAACUUUUCAUUUUAAUAUCCAUUGGGGUUUGUAUAAGACAUUAUUGUAAACAUGUUAUAUUUUAUGCCUUGUCACUGUCUUUUUGUAUUGUUUUGUUGUUAAUUAUUUAAAAAGUGAAUUUAAUUUAAUAAAAAUCAAGUCUAUUCUUAUACCCAGAAAUGAAAAAUUAAAUAUGGGAUGACA
rnacentral:lncRNA from 1 species